UACGAAGGGGGCUAGCGUUGCUCGGAUUGACUGGGCGUAAAGGGCGCGUAGGCGGUUCGUACAGUCAGACGUGAAAUUCCUGGGCUCAACCUGGGGGCUGCGUUUGAUACGUGCGGACUUGAGUGCGGAAGAGGGUCGUGGAAUUCCCAGUGUAGAGGUGAAAUUCGUAGAUAUUGGGAAGAACACCGGUGGCGAAGGCGGCUGACCUGGG
rnacentral:rRNA from 1 species